rnacentral:rRNA from 1 species
UACGGAGGGUGCGAGCGUUGUCCGGAAUCACUGGGCGUAAAGGGCGCGUAGGCGGCUUUUUAAGGGUGCGGUGAAAGUCCGGGGCUUAACCCCGGAUCGGCCGUGCCGACUGGGAGGCUUGAGCACUGUAGAGGCGAGUGGAAUUCCGGGUGUAGCGGUGGAAUGCGUAGAGAUCCGGAAGAACACCGGUGGCGAAGGCGGCCAUCUGGCCCGUAAUUGACGCUGAGGCGCGAAAGCGUGGGGAGCAAACAGG